AAAAUGAAAUUACACAGCAUGUACUCUGGUGACUGACGUUUUGCUCAGAAAAAUAUAUGGGAGAUGUUCCAAGACUCCCAGUGGAUGUCUGAAAUUGAAGAUAAUACCGAACCCAAUUGCCCUCAGUCAGAACAGGAUUCUGUUCAUGUUUUCCGCUCACAAAUUUAAUGACUUUUUCAUCGUAAAUAAGCACUUAUGCACUGUGGGCAUUUUGCAGUUUGAAGUGCAACAGCAAAACUAGCACAGAUUUUAUUUUUCCUUUUCACAAUUUCAUGGAUAGAAGGUUUGUUCUUAUUGUACAUCUUAGCAACCUUGGCAUACGAUUUUUCUUUUCUUUCCUUAUUAAGUUGAGAACUUUCAGUUUUCACUUAAAGGAAACACCUUAUGGCUUCUCUUUGGCAUAGCCAAAAUGCCAGCAUCAUUAUUCUUACACUUUGGGGCCAUUUUUGAGUGAAAUAAGGGUUACUUGAAUGGCAGCUUUGCAACAUCGUGUCGAUCUGAUAACCACAAUGGCUACUAAAGGGCAAAGAGCAUCUACAGCAUGGAUCCGCUGGACAAAAGGAUGCAUGAAGCGGGACAGAGUGAAGUUUUAUCAUGCUACUCAGAACAGUAUGCAAUUUAAAACUUAUGAAUUAUUUCUGGAAUUUUCUGUUUAAUAUUUUCAUACUGUGGUUGGCGGCAAGACCACUGUAUAAGCAAUUUUAGUAUGUAUUAUUUCUGUGGUUAUAUAUGAAAAUAAAGCAUGCUGUCUUUUAUAUUCAAAGGAGUCGUUUGUUUAGUUUAACUUAACUAAAUU
rnacentral:lncRNA from 1 species